GAUUGAACGCUGGCGGCAGGCCUAACACAUGCAAGUCGAGCGGUAGCACAGAGAGCUUGCUCUCGGGUGACGAGCGGCGGACGGGUGAGUAAUGUCUGGGAAACUGCCUGAUGGAGGGGGAUAACUACUGGAAACGGUAGCUAAUACCGCAUAACGUCGCAAGACCAAAGUGGGGGACCUUCGGGCCUCAUGCCAUCAGAUGUGCCCAGAUGGGAUUAGCUAGUAGGUGGGGUAACGGCUCACCUAGGCGACGAUCCCUAGCUGGUCUGAGAGGAUGACCAGCCACACUGGAACUGAGACACGGUCCAGACUCCUACGGGAGGCAGCAGUGGGGAAUAUUGCACAAUGGGCGCAAGCCUGAUGCAGCCAUGCCGCGUGUGUGAAGAAGGCCUUCGGGUUGUAAAGCACUUUCAGCGGGGAGGAAGGCGGUAAGGUUAAUAACCUUGGCGAUUGACGUUACCCGCAGAAGAAGCACCGGCUAACUCCGUGCCAGCAGCCGCGGUAAUACGGAGGGUGCAAGCGUUAAUCGGAAUUACUGGGCGUAAAGCGCACGCAGGCGGUCUGUCAAGUCGGAUGUGAAAUCCCCGGGCUCAACCUGGGAACUGCAUUCGAAACUGGCAGGCUAGAGUCUUGUAGAGGGGGGUAGAAUUCCAGGUGUAGCGGUGAAAUGCGUAGAGAUCUGGAGGAAUACCGGUGGCGAAGGCGGCCCCCUGGACAAAGACUGACGCUCAGGUGCGAAAGCGUGGGGAGCAAACAGGAUUAGAUACCCUGGUAGUCCACGCCGUAAACGAUGUCGAUUUGGAGGUUGUGCCCUUGAGGCGUGGCUUCCGGAGCUAACGCGUUAAAUCGACCGCCUGGGGAGUACGGCCGCAAGGUUAAAACUCAAAUGAAUUGACGGGGGCCCGCACAAGCGGUGG
rnacentral:rRNA from 1 species